UGUGAGAUACCAUUCUGGACCUGAGGUGUCAUCCUGGACCUGAGUGUCAACCUGGACCCGAGGUUUCAUUUUGGUCCUGAGGUGUCACCUGGACUUGAAUUGUCACCUUGGACCUGAGGUGUCACUCUGGACCUGAGGUGUCAACCUGGAUGUGAGAUACCAUCCUGGACCUGAGGUGUCAUCCUGGACCUGAUGUGUCAACCUGGAUGUGAGAUACCAUCCUGGACCUGAGGUGCCAACCUGAACCAUAGGUUUCAUUAUGGAUGUGAGUUGUCACUCUGGACCUGAGGUGUCAGCCUUGAUGUGAGAUACCAUUCUAGACCUGAGGUGUCAUCCUGGACCUGAGGUGCCAACCUGAACCAUAGGUUUCAUUAUGGAUGUGAGGUGUCACUCAGGACCUGAGGUGUCAACCUGGAUGUGAGAUACCAUCCUGGACAUGAGGUGUCAGCUUUGACCUGAGUGUCAACCUGAACCAUAGGUUUCAUUAUGGAUGUGAGGUGUCACUCUGGAUCUGAUAUGUCUCCCCGGACUUGAGGUGUCACCCUGGAUGUGAGGUGUCAUCCUGGACCUGAAGUUUCACCUUGAACCUGACAGUGGCACCAUGGACCCAUAUCCUCAUCUUACCUAUAAGGACUCUGAAGUUCUUGUAUGCAAAAUGGAUGAAACUAUUCAAGAAAAAUACAAGAUGUAAAACACUGUACAACAGCUCAGCAAAAGGUUAACAGAUUCCACAGCGAGGAAAUAUCUUUAAAAAUCAAUUCUCACCUAUAUGGUAACUUUAACUAAAUGAUUGCACAAAAAGAACAUAAUAAAACUGUCAAAAACCAA